GGGCUGGGGCUCAGCGGUAGAGCGCUCGCCUGGCACGUGCGAGGUGCUGGGUUCGAUCCUCAGCACCACA
rnacentral:tRNA from 1 species